rnacentral:lncRNA from 3 species
UUGGCUUGGUCAAAUCAGUGUUCAAACUAUCUCCUGCCCUUUCAAGAGGAUCUAGGGCUCUAGAAG